AGAAUAAGUCAGCCGAGUCUGGUUAAUCAGUUUAACUGGAGCGGGGGAACCACCCAAAGGGGCGCAUUAAGGAUUUUUCCUGGUUAAUGGGUAAAAAAACUAGGUUAUCCUUGAAGGGCAACUCUCAGCCCUAGUCCGUCAGCUAACUCCGUAGGCAUUGAGAGGAGACUGA
rnacentral:sRNA from 2 species